GGAGUAAAAUGCCAGAACAGCAGUAGCUGUAGUAGACACCCUAGGGAUUUGCACCAGUUGAGCUAUACCAUUUGCUGGCCACCAGUGGCUGAAACCUCCAUGGAGACAAGGCAUUAUAUUUUAUAUCACCUCUCUCAUGUACUUAGGUAGGCUGAGGGAGAGGAAGUAAGCAACAAUGAGCUGUGUGAAUCGAAGUGCUUCGUCAAGCAUUGCGGCUUUGAGGAGACAAUCGUCGAGGGGUUUGAAUUCCCAGGGACCGGAGAGUUGCCCUUAAGUCCUCCAUUGAGUGAAGUACGUCAAUUGUUGUGGAGACAAAGAGUUUGUCACCGUCAAAGGGAAGAUCUUCAGUGGUACUCUGGAUCUCUUGAGGAAAGGAGAAGGAGGAGAGCCAUGAACCUCGGCGCAUGAGAACUGCUGUAGCAGUAGAUCUUGCUGCAGUAUUGGCUGCAUCGAGGGCACUUGAAGAGUGGUACUUGAGAUAAUUUGUCCCUCAGAAACUGGAGCCAUAAAUUGUUGUUUCUUUUUUCUGGAAUGUCAUCAGUAAAGUCCAUGAAUUUGUAAUUUUUGUGGUCAUAUUUUGCCAGAACGGCAGUAUAAUUAGCAAUGUGAAAUUGUAACGUAGAAGAUGCAUAUACUUUGCAUCCGAGCAGAUCUAAUCCCUUACUGUCCUUGUCAGAUGGGGUGGAGCAGGGAAACUGGUGCUUGGUCUUUUUGGUUGACUGCGUCUACUACCAGCGAGUUUGGCGCUGGAUGAGUGAAAAGGAAUUCAGAGCCCUUGGAAGGGAUGAAGUACUUGCGAUCCGCCCGCUUAUAAGUUGGUAGGUUUGCAGCCAGAGUCUGCCAGAUGGCCUUAGUAGGUUCCAAAAGGGCUGCGUUGAUCGGUAAUGCAAUCUUAGAGGAA